ensembl:rRNA 5S_rRNA 5S ribosomal RNA
GCUUGCGGCCACACUGGCCUGAGUACGCCUGAUCUCGUCCGAUCUUGGAAGCUAAGCAGGGUCGGGCCUGGUUAGUACUUGGAUGGGAGACCGCCUGGGAAUACCAGGUGCUGUAAGCU